ACUCAAAGGAAUUGACGGGGGCCCGCACAAGCAGUGGAGCAUGUGGUUCAAUUCGAUGCAACGCGAAGAACCUUACCUGGGUUUGAAAGGCAAGUGACAGGCGAUGAAAGUCGCUCUCCCCGCAAGGGGCACUUGUACAGGUGCUGCAUGGCUGUCGUCAGCUCGUGCCGUGAGGUGUUAGGUUAAGUCCUGCAACGAGCGCAACCCCUGCACUUAGUUGCCAUCAGGUAAUGCUGGGCACUCUAAGUGGACUGCCUACGCAAGUAGUGAGGAAGGUGGGGAUGACGUCAAGUCCUCAUGGCCCUUAUACCCAGGGCCACACACGUGCUACAAUGGGUGAUACAAAGGGUUGCCAAGCCGCAAGGUGGAGCCAAUCCCAAAAAAUCAUCCUCAGUUCGGAUUGGGGUCUGCAACUCGACCCCAUGAAGCUGGAAUUGCUAGUAAUCGCGGAUCAGCACGCCGCGGUGAAUACGUUCCCGGGCCUUGUACACACCGCCCGU
rnacentral:rRNA from 1 species